rnacentral:rRNA from 1 species
GACGAACGCUGGCGGCGUGCCUAAUACAUGCAAGUUGAGCGAUGAAGAUUGGUGCUUGCACCAAUUUGAAGAGCAGCGAACGGGUGAGUAACGCGUGGGGAAUCUGCCUUUGAGCGGGGGACAACAUUUGGAAACGAAUGCUAAUACCGCAUAAUAACUUUAAACAUAAGUUUUAAGUUUGAAAGAUGCAAUUGCAUCACUCAAAGAUGAUCCCGCGUUGUAUUAGCUAGUUGGUGAGGUAAAGGCUCACCAAGGCGAUGAUACAUAGCCGACCUGAGAGGGUGAUCGGCCACAUUGGGACUGGGACACGGCCCAAACUUCUACGGGAGGCAGCAGGAGGGAAUCUUCGGCAAUGGACGAAAGUCUGACCGAGCAAAGCCGCGGGAGGGAAGAAGGUUUUCGGAUCGUAAAACUCUGUUGGUAGAGAAGAACGUUGGUGAGAGUGGAAAGCUCAUCAAGUGACGGUAACUACCCAGAAAGGGACGGCUAACUACGUG